rnacentral:rRNA from 1 species
AUUGAACGCUGGCGGCAGGCCUAACACAUGCAAGUCGAACGAGUGGCGGACGGGUGAGUAAUGUCUGGGAAACUGCCCGAUGGAGGGGGAUAACUACUGGAAACGGUAGCUAAUACCGCAUACCAUCGGAUGUGCCCAGAUGGGAUUAGCUAGGAGGUGGGGUAACGGCUCACCUAGGAGAAGAUCCCUAGCUGGUCGGGGAGGAUGACCAGCCACACAUGAACUGAUACUCGGUCCAGACUCCUACGGGAGGCAGCAGUGGGGAAUAUGUCACAAUGGGCGCAAGCCUGAUUCAGCCAUGCCGCGUUUAGGAAGCAGGCCUUCGGGUUGUAAAGUACUUUCAGCGGGGAGGCGUUACCCGCAGAAUAAGCACCGGCUAACUCCGUGCCAGCAGCCGCGGUAAUAC